AUCAAAGUUCUUGUUGACAAUAUGGAGCAGCUCUGACUCUGUUUUCUGGGAGGAACCAUAGGUGAACAAGGAGAUUGACAGAGGAUGGGCCACUCCAAUAGCAUAGGACACCUGUAAACACGCCCAGACAGUUUGGCUUUGACCAGAGACUUGGCCACCCAGCGAGCAGCAUAAGCAGCCGAGCGGUCGACCUUUGAGAAGUCUUUGCCAGAGAAAGCUCCGCCACCGUGAGCUCCCCAACCUCCGUAUGUGUCUACAAUGAUCUUCCUGCCUGUCACACCAGCAUCACCCUGGACCGCCUUCUGUUCCUCCAGAGAGAUGCAGUCAUCGUGCUGGACAGAGAUCACGAUGGUGUGAACUCUCUUGGGGAUCACGGCUCCGUCCUUCUGGUCAUAAUGUACUGUCACCUGUGGGAUAGAGCAGAAGUCAACAGUUGGUACACAACGGUGGAAUUUGUUAUAAUUUCUCAUUUGAUAUUGAGUUCUCAUUUAUCUGAUUUCCUGCUGUUAUAGUGACCCAAAGUUGCCCAUGGGAUGAUUCAAGUUUCUUAUUAUUGGAUCUGUUUUCUUGGGCAGACCCUGACAUAAAACUAAAAUGAAAUUUGAUAUUUGAUAUCCUCUAGCAUCUUAGAAAAAAGUGUCUGUAAUAUCUGAAAGAGCCUAUGAUUUAUGAAGCUGCUGCUGGCCCCUUUUCCUACUGUUGCGACCAGAUAAUUUCAUUCAUGAAUAUUUAUUUGGUGUAGAAAAAACAUGUGCUCAAUCCUAUCUUGGAUACAUCUAAAGCUCUAUGUUCAUGUUGGUUUGAAGUCUGACCUGCUCUAUUUUGCCUGAUGUUAUAACAGCCUAUAUUUGAAGUUGGACAAAAGUACAUGAGAGACUUUGUGUCAGUGGCUAACUGCCUCCAAAUCAGUCAAAAGUCUAUUAUUUCAACACAGACAGCUUUAUCUUAAGUACUUGCAGUAGCCACCGUUGAUCCGAUUUUGUCUGCUGGCUCCAAAACUAAAUUUCUUGGAGGACACCCAGAGUAGAAACAAUAAACCAAUUCACCAA